UUCCAGACUCCUACGGGAGGCAGCAGUGAGGAAUAUUGGUCAAUGGGCGGGAGCCUGAACCAGCCAAGUCGCGUGAGGGAUGACGGUCCUACGGAUUGUAAACCUCUUUUGCCGGGGAGCAAGCGUGCGUUCGUGAACGCGCGUCGAGAGUACCCGGAGAAAAAGCAUCGGCUAACUCCGUGCCAGCAGCCGCGGUAAUACGGAGGAUGCGAGCGUUAUCCGGAUUUAUUGGGUUUAAAGGGUGCGCAGGCGGGCUGUUAAGCCGGCGGUAAAAAUUCAGGGCUCAACCCUGUCGAGCCGUCGGAACUGGCAGUCUUGAGUGGGCGAGAAGUAUGCGGAAUGCGUGGUGUAGCGGUGAAAUGCAUAGAUAUCACGCAGAACGCCGAUUGCGAAGGCAGCAUACCGGCGCCCAACUGACGCUGAGGCACGAAAGCGUGGGGAUCGAACAGGAUUAGAUACCCCCGUA
rnacentral:rRNA from 1 species